AUUGAACGCUGGCGGCAGGCCUAACACAUGCAAGUCGAACGGUAACAGAAAGCAGCUUGCUGCUUUGCUGACGAGUGGCGGACGGGUGAGUAAUGUCUGGGAAACUGCCUGAUGGAGGGGGAUAACUACUGGAAACGGUAGCUAAUACCGCAUAACGUCGCAAGACCAAAGAGGGGGACCUUCGGGCCUCUUGCCAUCGGAUGUGCCCAGAUGGGAUUAGCUAGUAGGUGGGGUAACGGCUCACCUAGGCGACGAUCCCUAGCUGGUCUGAGAGGAUGACCAGCCACACUGGAACUGAGACACGGUCCAGACUCCUACGGGAGGCAGCAGUGGGGAAUAUUGCACAAUGGGCGAAAGCCUGAUGCAGCCAUGCCGCGUGUGUGAAGAAGGCCUUCGGGUUGUAAAGUUCUUUCAGCGGGGAGGAAGGAAGUAGUAUGAAUACAUUUACUUAUUGACGUUACCCAAAGAGAAAGCACCGGCUAACUCCGUG
rnacentral:rRNA from 1 species